UACGUAGGGUGCAAGCGUUAUUCGGAAUUACUGGGCGUAAAGCGUGCGCAGGCGGUCCGCUAAGUCAGCUGUGAAAUCCCCGGGCUUAACCUGGGAACUGCAUUUGUGACUGGCGGGCUAGAGUAUGGCAGAGGGGGGUAGAAUUCCACGUGUAGCAGUGAAAUGCGUAGAGAUGUGGAGGAAUACCGAUGGCGAAGGCAGCCUCCUGGGCCAACACUGACGCUCAUGCACGAAAGCGUGGGGAGCAAACAGG
rnacentral:rRNA from 1 species